rnacentral:rRNA from 1 species
GCAUAUCAAUAAGCGGAGGAAAAGAAACUAACAAGGAUUCCCUUAGUAACGGCGAGUGAAGAGGGAAGAGCUCAAAUUUGAAAUCUUCAAGGUUCUACCUUGACGAAUUGUAGUUUAAAGAAGUGUUUUCUGUUAGAUGAGUAGCAAAAGUUCCUUGGAAUGGGACAUCAUAGAGGGUGAGAAUCCCGUAUUUGGUUAUUCAUUCUAGCUUUGUGAUACACUUUCAAAGAGUCGGAUUGUUUGGGAAUGCAGUCCAAAAUGGGUGGUAAAUUUCAUCUAAAGCUAAAUAUUGGCGAGAGACCGAUAGCGAACAAGUACCGUGAGGGAAAGAUGAAAAGAACUUUGAAAAGAGAGUUAAACAGUACGUGAAAUUGUCAAAAGGGAAGCGUUUGACACCAGUGUUGUUUUUCCGAAAAUCAAUUACGAAUGGCUUGAUUUUGUGUUGUAUUGACCUUAUCAGCUUUCUUCACUUUUUUCGAGUCUUUCUUAAUGCACUUUUCGGUUAACAAGUCAACAUCAAUUUCUUUUGUUGUAAAAGAGUAUUCGGAAGGUGGCUCUCUUUUCGGAGAAAGUGUUUAUAGCCCUAUACUUCUACAAUCGGAGAGAUUGAGGUCUGCAGCGUAGAUCCUUCGGGGUUAGAUACACUUGUGCUAAGUUGUAGCUUUUCAUAGACAACUUGUUGACUAUGUUUAGUCAUGCGGCUUACUCGCUUGUGCUAUUUUACCUACGCUUAGGAUGUUGACAAAAUGGUUUUAAACGACCCGUCUUGAAACACGGACC